CCUACGGGGGGCAGCAGUGAGGAAUAUUGGUCAAUGGGCGGAAGCCUGAACCAGCCAAGUAGCGUGCAGGAUGACAGCCCUACGGGUUGUAAACUGCUUUUAUACGGGAAUAACGCGCCUUACGUGUAGGGCUUUGCAUGUACCGUAUGAAUAAGGACCGGCUAAUUCCGUGCCAGCCGCCGCGGUAAUACGGAAGGUCCGGGCGUGAUCCGGAUUUAUUGGGUUUAAGGGGAGCGUAGGCCGCAUGUCAAGCGUGCUGUGAAAUGUCCGGGCUCAACCCGGGCCGUGCAGCGCGAACUGGCGUGCUUGAGUCCGCGGAAAGCAGGCGGAAUUCGUCGUGUAGCGGUGAAAUGCGUAGAUAUGACGAAGAACCCUGAUUGCGAAGGCAGCUUGCUGCAGCGGAACUGACGCUGAUGCUCGAAAGCGCGGGUAUCGAACAGGAUUAGAUACCCUAGUAGUC
rnacentral:rRNA from 1 species